UACGUAGGGGGCAAGCGUUGUCCGGAUUUAUUGGGCGUAAAGAGCGUGUAGGCGGCCAGAUAGGUCCGUUGUGAAAACUCGAGGCUCAACCUCGAGACGCCGAUGGAAACCAUCUGGCUAGAGUCCGGGAAGAGGAGAGUGGAAUUCCUGGUGUAGCGGUGAAAUGCGCAGAUAUCAGGAAGAACACCCGUGGCGGAAGGCGGUUCUCUGGGACGGUACUGACGCUGAGACGCGAAAGCGUGGGGAGCGAACAGG
rnacentral:rRNA from 1 species